CAAUAGCGUAUAUUAAAGUUGUUGCGGUUAAAAAGCUCGUAGUUGGAUUUCUGCUGAGGACGAUCGGUCCGCCCACUGGGUGAGUAUCUGGCUCGGCCUUGGCAUCUUCUUGGAGAACGUUGCUGCACUUGACUGUGUGGUGCGGUAUCCAGGACUUUUACUUUGAGGAAAUUAGAGUGUUUCAAGCAGGCGCACGCCUUGAAUACAUUAGCAUGGAAUAAUAAGAUAGGACCUUAGUUCUAUUUUGUUGGUUUCUAGAGCUGAGGUAAUGAUUAAUAGGGAUAGUUGGGGGCAUUCGUAUUUAACUGUCAGAGGUGAAAUUCUUGGAUUUGUUGAAGACGAUCUACUGCGAAAGCAUUUGCCAGGGAUGUUUUCAUUGA
rnacentral:rRNA from 1 species